rnacentral:rRNA from 1 species
UACGGAGGAUGCAAGCGUUAUCCGGAUUCAUUGGGUUUAAAGGGUGCGUAGGCGGGCUAUUAAGUCAGUGGUGAAAUCCUGCAGCUUAACUGCAGAACUGCCGUUGAUACUGUUAGUCUUGAGUUUGGUUAAGGUAGGCGGAAUGUGUAAUGUAGCGGUGAAAUGCUUAGAUAUUACACAGAACACCAAUUGCGUAGGCAGCUUACUGAGCCGACACUGACGCUGAGGCACGAAAGCGUGGGGAUCAAACAGGAUUA